rnacentral:rRNA from 1 species
UACGUAGGGACCAAGCGUUGUUCGGAUUUACUGGGCGUAAAGGGCGCGUAGGCGGCCUAGUAAGUCACUUGUGAAAUCUCCGGGCUUAACUCGGAACUGCCAAGUGAAACUGCUGGGCUAGAGUGCAGAAGGGGCAAUCGGAAUUCUUGGUGUAGCGGUGAAAUGCGUAGAUAUCAAGAGGAACACCUGAGGUGAAGACGGGUUGCUGGGCUGACACUGACGCUGAGGCGCGAAAGCCAGGGGAGCAAACGGG